rnacentral:rRNA from 1 species
GACGAACGCUGGCGGCGUGCUUAACACAUGCAAGUCGAACGCUGAAGCUUGGUGCUUGCACUGGGUGGAUGAGUGGCGAACGGGUGAGUAAUACGUGAGUAACCUGCCCUUGACUCUGGGAUAAGCCUGGGAAACUGGGUCUAAUACUGGAUACGACAUGUCACCGCAUGGUGGUGUGUGGAAAGGGUUUUACUGGUUUUGGAUGGGCUCACGGCCUAUCAGCUUGUUGGUGGGGUAAUGGCUCACCAAGGCGACGACGGGUAGCCGGCCUGAGAGGGUGACCGGCCACACUGGGACUGAGACACGGCCCAGGCUCCUACGGGAGGCAGCAGUGGGGAAUAUUGCACAAUGGGCGGAAGCCUGAUGCAGCGACGCCGCGUGAGGGAUGACGGCCUUCGGGUUGUAAACCUCUUUCAGCACGGAAGAAGCGAAAGUGACGGUACGUGCAGAAGAAGCGCCGGCUAACUACGUG